AUGCGCUGCAGACAGUGCAGCAGUCGACACCUUAUGGCUCUGCAUGACAUCGGUGCUGGGAAGCCAGAGAAUCCAAAGCUUGUUCAAGAUGAAACUGCUGAUACCAACAGCUGUCUAUUCAAUACCAUGAAUGAGAUUCUCCUGAUUCAUAAACCGCCUACCAGCAGGAAGGUUCUACUUAAAAUUAGCAAAGUGAUUCUCAGAAAUGGCAAGAGAAGGGUAAAUGCAUACGCAAUCCAGGAUGAUGGAUCAGAGAGAACUAUCCUCCUCCAUAGUGCAGCUCAGCAGUUGGGCCUCAGAGGUCAGCCUGAAGAUCUCCCACUCAGAACAAUCAGGCAGGAGCUACAAGUUCUCAGAGAAGCAGCAGUCUCAUUUGUGAUCUCACCAAUUGCUCAGCCGACUAAAAGACACAUACAUACACAGACCACUUCACCUGAACCAAUCAGCGUCCAGAAACCUUGACCACGUGACCCCCCCACCCUGACAGAGACUGAAGUUCAGUGCAGUGGGAUACGGGGUCGGACACUUAAGUUUCUGCAACAUCAUUGUUUUUGGACUGUUUAAAGAUCGCCUUUUGGACAAAGUGUUGUGCGUGAAUGCAAAAGUAAGUUUGAAUCACUAAUUAUAUAGUCGAUGAGAGACUUAUUCACCUUUGUAUACAAGUUAUUACGUCCGUGAGGUAACGAUAUCUAUAUGUGUAUGCGUGCAUUCAUAAUUAGCAUGUAACAUUGUAAACAUUGUAACCCUGUUGUUUAUAUGCUUAUAUACAUAUCUGGUGAGUGCUAGAGUAACAUUUGUUGUUAUUAGUAUGAGUUAAGUUCCUGUUUGAAACAGGGUUCGCUGCAAUUUUUUUAUAUCUAACGGGUAUACUGUUAUAAACAUAACUUUCUAAGCGCAUGCACUCUCGUAGCUCAUACAGAGUGGCGCUUCACAAGCGGCAUGGCUCUAAUAAGGUGCCAAGUUACAGUUGUGCACUGCUUAUAAAAUACGAAUUACAGCCUGCCUUGUAUUCUACAUGUCUUUUGCUAAUAAUGUUCAUGUUUAAUUACUAAGCUUAAUCUAUUGUGCUGUUAUAGCCAGUUUGUUAUAAUAUUUUUUACUAUUAUCAUGUAUAUUAUGUAUAUUCAUGUUUAUGUCAAUUUUUCAUUUGUAGAAAAACCACAGCCACGACCAAACAGUCUGUUGAGUGGUGACAAUAAAUGGGUUAGUCUUAUAAAAAAACAAGUGCAUCUUCGUUUCGUCUCUAAUCGGACAGUCUUUGGUGGGUCACUACCCGGAGCUGGUAAAUAGUUCUAUAUGGUGAAGAGCUAUAAAAGCAAACAUUUUUACAUCGACCAAAAAUUGAAAGGUCUCUUUGUAACCAGCAAUUUAAGAUUCGGUUUGCUUUUUGUAGAUUAUUUUCAAAAUUAUCUUUCGUACAAAUUUUCUGAUCUUUGGUAAUUGUAAUGCCUAAAUAUUUUACCUUAUUUUUUACCGGAAUAUUAUUCAGACAAGUGAUAUCACUCUGAUGAAGGGCAAAGAGUUCACAUUUGCUUAAAUUUAGCUGGAGUCCUGAUGCCUUAGCAAAGGUAUUAACUAAUGAAAUACCCAGAUUAAUUUGAUCCUUGUUUUUUAAGAAUAGCGUAGUAUCAUCUGCCAAUUGACUGAUUGCCAUACUUUUAUCAAAUACAUUUAAUUUCUGUACCGUUCGAUCAUGAAUAACUAAAGUAGACAACAUAUCUGCAGCCAAAAUAAAUAAAAGAGGGGAUAGAGGGCAGCCCUGUCUUAUUCCACGACUAAUAUGAAAUCUUUGUGAAG
ensembl:lncRNA